rnacentral:rRNA from 1 species
UGGGGAAUAUUGCACAAUGGGCGCAAGCCUGAUGCAGCCAUGCCGCGUGUAUGAAGAAGGCCUUCGGGUUGUAAAGUACUUUCAGCGGGGAGGAAGGCGAUAAGGUUAAUAACCUUGUCGAUUGACGUUACCCGCAGAAGAAGCACCGGCUAACUCCGUGCCAGCAGCCGCGGUAAUACGGAGGGUGCAAGCGUUAAUCGGAAUUACUGGGCGUAAA